GAUGAACGCUGGCGGCGUGCCUAAUACAUGCAAGUCGAGCGAACGGACGAUAAGCUUGCUUCUCUGAUGUUAGCGGCGGACGGGUGAGUAACACGUGGAUAACCUACCUAUAAGACUGGGAUAACUUCGGGAAACCGGCGCUAAUACCGGAUAAUAUUCUGAACCGCAUGGUUCAAAAGUGAAAGUCGGUCUUGCUGUCACUAAUAGAUGCAUCUGCGCUGCAUUAGCUAGUUGGUAAGGUAACGGCCUACCAAGGCAACUAUGCAUAGCCGACCGGGGAGGGUGAUAGCCGACACGGGAGCGUGGCCAGCGUCCAGGGUACUACGGUAGGGAGCAGAAGCGUACCUGCGGCAAUGGGGGGAAGCCUUGCAGAGCGGGGCGACGUGAGUUAUAAAGAUCUUGGGAUCGGAAAACUGGGUUACGGGGUGAGAACAUAUGUGUAAGGUAACGAGCACAGCUUGACGGUACCGAAUAAGAAAGCAACGGCUAACUACGUG
rnacentral:rRNA from 1 species